UGGAUCCAGACUUUGAUCCUGGCUCAGGAUAAACGCUGGCGGCGCACAUAAGACAUGCAAGUCGAACGGAAGUCGUUGUAAUGAUUUUGACAUGGACAGAGAACUUGUUCGAAGAAAGUGAGGAUUGACUUACAACAAUGGCUUUAGUGGCGGACUGGUGAGUAACGCGUGAGCAACCUGCCUGUUAGAGGGGAAUAACAGUGAGAAAUCAUUGCUAAUACCGCAUAUGCCAUAGUUACCACAUGGUAACAGUGGGAAAGGAGCAAUCCGCUAACAGAUGGGCUCGCGUCUGAUUAGAUAGUUGGUGGGGUAACGGCCUACCAAGUCAACGAUCAGUAGCCGGACUGAGAGGUUGAACGGCCACAUUGGGACUGAGAUACGGCCCAGACUCCUACGGGAGGCAGCAGUCGGGAAUAUUGCGCAAUGGAGGAAACUCUGACGCAGUGACGCCGCGUAUAGGAAGAAGGUCUUCGGAUUGUAAACUAUUGUCGUUAGGGAAGAAAAAGGACAGUACCUAAGGAGGAAGCUCCGGCUAACUACGUGCCAGCAGCCGCGGUAAUACGUAGGGAGCAAGCGUUAUCCGGAUUUAUUGGGUGUAAAGGGUGCGUAGACGGGAUAAUAAGUUAGUUGUGAAAUCCCUCGGCUCAACUGAGGAACUGCAACUAAAACUGUUAUUCUUGAGUGUUGGAGAGGAAAGCGGAAUUCCUAGUGUAGCGGUGAAAUGCGUAGAUAUUAGGAGGAACACCAGUGGCGAAGGCGGCUUUCUGGACAAUAACUGACGUUGAGGCACGAAAGUGUGGGGAGCAAACAGGAUUAGAUACCCUGGUAGUCCACACCGUAAACGAUGAAUACUAGGUGUAGGUUGUGUCAUGCAAUCUGUGCCGUCGCAAACGCAGUAAGUAUUCCACCUGGGGAGUACGGCCGCAAGGUUGCAACUCAAAUGAAUUGACGGA
rnacentral:rRNA from 1 species